rnacentral:rRNA from 1 species
CUGCUGCCUCCCGUAGGAGUCUGGUCCGUGUCUCAGUACCAGUGUGGGGGACCUUCCUCUCAGAACCCCUACGCAUCGUCGCCUCGGUGGGCCGUUACCCCGCCGACUAGCUAAUGCGCCGCAUGCCCAUCCCCCGCCGGAAUCGCUUCCUUUGGCCGCAGACCCAUGCAGGUCCGCGGCGUUACGCGGUAUUAGUCGGGAUUUCUCCCGGUUAUCCCCCUGCGGGGGGCAGGUCGCAUACGUGUUACUCACCCGUGCGCCGGUCGCCGGCA